rnacentral:rRNA from 1 species
AGUGAACGCUGGCGGCAGGCCUAACACAUGCAAGUCGAACGAGUGGCGGACGGGUGAGGAAUACAUCGGAAUCUACUCUAUCUUGGGGGAUAACGUAGGGAAACCUACGCUAAUACCGCUUACGACUGAAUGAGCCGUUGUCGGAUUAGCUAGUUGGGGGGGUAAAGGCCCACCAAGGCGACGAUCCGUAGCGGGUCUGAGAGGAUGAUCAGCCACACUGGAACUGAGACACGGCCCAGACUCCUACGGGAGGCAGCAGUGGGGAAUAUUGGGCAAUGGGCGAAAGCCUGAUCCAGCAAUACCGCGUGGGUGAAGAAGGCCUUCGGGUUGUAAAACCCUUUUGUUGGGAAAGCGGUACCCAACGAAAAAGCACCGGCUAACUACGUGCCAGCAGCCGCGGUAAUUC